rnacentral:rRNA from 1 species
AUUGAACGCUGGCGGCAGGCCUAACACAUGCAAGUCGAACGAGUGGCGGACGGGUGAGUAAUGUCUGGGAAACUGCCCGAUGGAGGGGGAUAACUACUGGAAACGGUAGCUAAUACCGCAUACCAUUGGAUGUGCCCCUAUGGGAGUAGCUUGUAGGUGGGGUAACGGCUCACCUAGGCGACGAUCCCUAGCUGGUCUGAGAGGAUGACAAGCCACACUGGAACUGAGACACGGUCCAGAAUCCUACGGGAGGCAGGAGUGGGGAAGAUUGCACAAUGGGCGCAAGCCUGAUGCAGCCAUGCCGCGUGUAUGAAGAAGGCCUUCGGGUUGUAAAGUACUUUCAGCGAGGAGGCGUUACCCGCAGAAGAAGCACCGGCUAACUCCGUGCCAGCCGCCGCGGUAAUUC